GCUUUUGGUUCAGUGGUAGAAUGCUCGCCUGCCACGUGGGCGCCCCGGUUUCGAUUCCUCCCCGAUGCA
rnacentral:tRNA from 1 species